rnacentral:lncRNA from 1 species
UUCAAACAUACAGGUUAGCUUGAAAUGUAAGACUACAAAGCUCCAGCGGACAAUCAGCAAUGCAAAUUAAUCCUGCAGGUAAUAGAAUCACUCUCCCACUUGCAGGUGAAACUUUCAGCAAAGAAAUACACCUCAACUUUGCAACUGUACUCCACCUUCCCUCCCAUUAUUAGGUUAACCAGAGAUGCAGCAAGAACCAACAGAACGAGGCUGUGUUCAUCCCUUGCAGACAGAAAUGUUUGGGAGGAGUCACAGCAACAAGAGACACUGCUCUGGAGCUGUUUGCUGGAACUAAUAGAUACAGGAAGAAUUUGUAAUGUUAUAAAUACCCCUGAGCAUACCUUCCUCUCAACAGGACUCAAGCUGCAAUUUUACUUUCGCAACAACAGGAGAAACUAUAGAAAAGAGGCAAGAGAAGUUGGCAGAAGCAAAAAGAAAAAAGAUCUUCAUUAUGUUACGUGUCUGCUCAUCAGCAGAACAAAUUCCCAUGGCUCUCUGUUCUAAUCAGAAGGAAGUAAUUUUCCUUUCUCACCUCACUGACUCUCCAACUUGGCUCUUGAAGCUGACUGCUCUCCAACCCUUCCCUCCAGGUACUCAGUUGCAAUUUUUGGUUCCUGCUAAGGUUUGCUCAUUAAACACUUUACCACUUACUCUCUGUUACUUCUAGCCAUCUUCCCUUAAAGUUGUACCACAAAUUUAACCAAGUUUCAGUGAAAAAUCAAGCUAACACAUACUUAACCACUAUAUGAUUUUAAGAUCCAUCUGUAUUUAUUUGACUGGAUAUUAAGUGCCUGAUAACAUAAACAUAAAAGUCAUCACUAUCAUCAUCACCCCUAUUAUUUGCUAUGUGCUAGAUACUAUACUAAAUAUACUUCUCAGGUCUCAUUUCCUUUAGGUAGGAGUAUUUACAUCAUCUCUCUUUAUAUAAAUAUAAAUAUAAAAUAUAUAUACAAAUACAUAUUUACAUUAUAUAGAGUAAUUUAUAUAAAACUGGU